AGUUUACAACUUAAUGAGUUACCUUUCUUGUUUUUUAUAAGAACUUAACUAGAUCAUAACCCGUGCUAUACAGCACGGACAUUAAUAUUUUGUAUAAAUUAAAUUGUAUACUUUAUUAUGUUUGCUAUAUUUGUCAAAAUUUAGUAAAAUAUAUUCAA
rnacentral:sRNA from 1 species